rnacentral:rRNA from 1 species
GACGAACGCUAGCGGCAGGCCUAACACAUGCAAGUCGAACGGUAAGGCCUCUUCGGAGGUACACGAGUGGCGCACGGGUGCGUAACGCGUAUGCAACCUACCCUUAAGAGAGGGAUAGUCGCGGGAAACUGCGAAUAAUACCUCAUGUUGUUAUGAGAUGGCAUCAUUUUAUAACCAAAGCUCCGGCGCUUAAGGAUGGGCAUGCGUAACAUUAGCUAGUUGGUGAGGUAACGGCUCACCAAGGCAACGAUGUUUAGCUGGUCUGAGAGGAUGAUCAGCCACACGGGCACUGAGACACGGGCCCGACUCCUACGGGAGGCAGCAGUGAGGAAUAUUGGGCAAUGGGGGCAACCCUGACCCAGCCAUGCCGCGUGAAGGAAGACGGCCCUCUGGGUUGUAAACUUCUUUUAUCAGGGGAUAAUUGUGCUCUAUACGAGCGCUUGUAGGUACCUGAUGAAUAAGCGCCGGCUAACUACG